rnacentral:rRNA from 1 species
CCUACGGGGGACUGCAGUAGGGAAUAUUGCUCAAUGGGGGAAACCCUGAAGCAGCAACGCCGCGUGGAGGAUGAAGGUUUUCGGAUUGUAAACUCCUUUUGUCAGAGAAGAUAAUGACGGUAUCUAACGAAUAAGCACCGGCUAACUCCGUGCCAGCAGCCGCGGUAAUACGGAGGGUGGAAGCGUUACUCGGAAUCACUGGGGUUAAAGAGCGCGUAGGCGGGGUAGCAAGUCAGAUGUGAAAUCCUAUGGCUUAACCAUAGAACUGCAUUUGAAACUGUUAUUCUUGAGUAUGGGAGAGGAAGGUGGAAUGCGUGGUGUAGGGGUAAAAUCCGUAGAGAUCAAGAGGAAUACUCAUUGCGAAGGCGACCUGCUAGAGCAUAACUGACGCUGAUGCGCGAAAGCGUGGGGAGCAAACAGGAUUAGAUACCCUGGUAGUC